AGCGGCGGACGGGUGAGUAACGCGUGGGUAACCUACCUCAUACAGGGGGAUAACAGUUGGAAACGGCUGCUAAUACCGCAUAAGCGCACAGUACCGCAUGGUACCGUGUGAAAAACUCCGGUGGUAUGAGAUGGACCCGCAUCUGAUUAGCUAGUUGGUGGGGUAACGGCCUACCAAGGCGACGAUCAGUAGCCGACCUGAGAGGGUGACCGGCCACAUUGGGACUGAGACACGGCCCAA
rnacentral:rRNA from 1 species